AGGGGCAAAAGGGCGGGGUCGCCCGGCUCGCCCUCGCGGGGGGGCGGGGCCGUGCCGAGAGCCGCCACAAACAUAAAUAGAACGCGGCUGGCGAGGGGCGGGGCCGAGGCUGAAGUGUCGGGGCCUUUGCUGAUGUCACGCGCAAGCCCGGACGCGCCCUGCGAGUGGUGGGAAAAGGGGGCGGGGCGAGGCCGGCGGCGCCCCCUGUGACACCAUCGCGGGAAGAGCCUGGAAUGCGGGGCGGGGCGCAACCCGGUCACCUCUGCAUUGGGGCAGUGCGGCAGCGCAGAGAAAUACGGGAGCGGGGCGGGGACUCUGGGCAGGGGCUGCUUCCGCCUGGGCAGGGCUAUACCCGGACCCUGCAGCAGUAGCGGCCGCCGCCGCCACCGCCCUUCCCGCAGGCGGCCAAGUGCCGGUUUGCCGGGCCGGCAGGCUCUGGCGGCGGCUAGGGGGCAGCCCCGGCCCGCGGCCCCGCUCUGACCCCUGCCCGGCGGUGUGACGCGGGGCCGCUCAGUGAGUCUUGCGCGGCUACUAGGAGGAGUGCGGGGGUUUGCCUGCUGCUUCCCAGCGGAGCAAUUGACCGCGGCCACCUCCUCCCCCCUGGGGGCCGGGGCCUGGCGCUGCUGGGGGGCGGGGCCGGGCAAGGCCCCCGCGGGCUGGUGUCGAGCUCUGCAGGCCGGACCUGGCCCGCCGGCCGCAGGUUGAGCAUCUGCCUGGGGAUGGAGGAGCAAGAAUUUCUCCCUUUUUAAAAGGGUUUAGGUUGUAGCUGUGUUGGUCUAAGGAUAUAUAUAGGCAGACAAGGUUCCUUGGGUGAAUUUGAUAUCUUUUAUUAGACCAACCCAAAUGGUUGGAGAAUAGUUUAUUAAGCAAGCUUUUGGGUUCAAAAACCAACUGCUGCAGCUUCCUUAGCCUGACGAAGGGUUUUUGAACCCUGAAAGCUUGCUUAAUAACUAUUCUCCAACCAUUUGGGUUGGUCUAAUAAAAGAUAUCAAAUUCACCCAAGGAACCUUGUCUCCCUUUUUUAAGCCCUUUCUGCUCUGGGAGUAGGAUUGCUUUGUCUUGCUUGCAGGUUUGAAACCCGUAGGUGGCCCUGCCUGAGAACACUGUGUUGGGGCCUCUUGUGCCCUGAGCAACAUGCACCUGACUGGUCGCGCUGCCUUGCCUUGCUGUGCCCCCUCCUCUCCACAGCGCUUCCCCCAAAGGAGCGCGCUUCUCCCACGGCCCCGGGAGAACAGGAUUGCCAUGACACAAAGCAGCAGCUCUGCCAGCAGGAUGUAGAGAAUUGAUUUUCAGACAGAUAACAGAAAAGACGUUUGCGUCUUCCCUACAGUACUCGGGACCUGAGCCCAAGGCAUUGUUUCUCCAAAAGUGAUCUACGUUAAAGGUCCCUUGCUCACUCCCUAGGCAGUCUGCCACUUGAAGUCAGUGGAAAUUUGGCAGAUGGAGAAGCACCUGACAUUGAGAUUUGGUUUAUGGCUUGAACAGCUUAUUCAAAACUCCAGCACAAAUACUAAACCUGCUAGGCAAAGUGGAAUGCACUGGGCUGCUGCAUCUUCCCUGCAACAUGAAGGGAGUGAACAUCUGGAUUUUGUAUCUGCUUGGAAUGUGUUGAGCAUGUGAUCCUGAAGAGCAGCAGCCCAAUCUGACAAGAGGCCGGUCAGGUUUCACUCUGCUGCACCUUGACAGCUCUGAGCAAUAGCACAAACGUUAAAGCUCCCAGUGUGCAAACUUGGACAGACAGCACUGCACUAGCUUGCACCCUGUUCCCAGCUGGAAGGUUAUCUGUGCAAACAAGUACUUAAUUUUGAAAACAGAAGUCUGCAGCAGUUAUGGACACGUUCCUUCCAACUGGCUACAGGUGAGCAGGUUUUUCAAGCCUUGUUUGGCCUUUUGAUUUUAAAAAGGUAAAUGAAAAUACCAAAGAAGAGGCAUCAGAAGUGAAAAGAGAGGAAGAAGGUAAGAGUGAGGCUGGCAAGGGUGGAAGAUUAACUCUGUGUGUAAAUCCAAUCCUUUCUGAGCUCCACCCUGCCAGUGGCAUCCAUCACCAGGGAAACAGGAUCUACCCUGAACUAAUUUGUGUAUCUGGAAAAUCUUAUUCCUAAAACUGUUCUCAGACCCAAGGAAAUCCCAGCUUUCCUCUCCAACAUUUGAUGGUGUAGUGAUGAUAGCCAUCUGGUACCCGUGUGUGGCAGCUACCUCAGCAACUGAAAGGGAAGAGAGAGAUCCUCCUGUCUGGUGGCUUGUAUUGCCUGUGAUGUAUGCUAUAGAAAUGAAAAACUAGUAUUUACUAAGGCAGAGUGAUUUCUGAAAGAAAUGGCGUUUCCAAUACUGGCAUCUUAUAUGUGAAGUUGCAACCUAUGGUUACUCAUUACCAAGAUUUUCAAGAAAUGUAAAGGGAGGGAAAUGAUUUUAAAAGUACCUUGGGAUCAGUGUAAAUUGCAUUAUUGCCAUCAGAUGUGGUUUUAUUUCAUACUAUUUACUAAACAGGAAUUAUAACCAUGGCAACAUUUAUAUCAUGACACGCACUAUAUAUAUGGAUCUGCCAACAGCAAGAGUGAAGUGCAUGUGUGGAGACAGAAUUUUUUGCAAGUAGAGUGUGAAUGUGGAACUCACUUCCAGCAGAGAUCAGGAUGACCACACACGUUAUCACCUGCAAAACAAGCAAAAUGCAUAAUUUACCACUUCAGUCUAGUCUUACCCCAAGAAAAAAAAACAUGUAGCAUUACUGAGAUAGUUCCCACCUCACUGUAGUGACAUACAUACUUACUAAGUGAGGUCCAUUGGGAUGAAUAUCAUGUGGCUCCUUGAAUUUGUAGGAGUCAUAAAAUACAAAUAACCUUUACACAGGGCUAUAUAGCAAUCAAACUGAAAAUUGAUCUUAUUCACAGAAAUUAUAGAAAUACAUUGUUUAAACACUUGGUAUGAAGUUUAUUUCAUUUUCUGAUAAAAAAGGAGGGGGUAAGAGGAACAUAGGACUACAAGAGACCUCCUGGAUCAUUGAGCCGGACCUUGCCACAAUCACAUUGGUACAUUCACCAAACACAUUCAAAUCAGUUAGUUGUUUUUUUGCCCUCACUUGUUGAAAAUCUGUUCCAGAAUCUCCUAGUAGAAGAAGUUUGCUUUAAGAAUUAGGAGAAAGUUCUGGGAAAUACAAUACCAUUUUUGUAUAUCCAUAAAUCUAACUUUUUUAAACUAAAGGAACGAAGUCAACUAAGACAUAUUUCUGUCAAAAAUAUUACAGGCUGUUUGACUAUAAAACUGAAAUAUUUCUCAAUUAGAUUAUAUUGCGAAUUUUACAACACUUUGUCUACUGCCAAUUGUACUGUUUUCCAUGAAGUCGGUUUCACCAUUUGUUUGCAUAUGUUACACAGCAAACAGAGAGAAAAACAGAUCUAUAUAAAUAAGCUAAGAAAAAUUAUUUGGGAGACCUGUAGGAAAGUGUGAAACUAGCUUUCAAGCUGACUCUGCCCCUUUAACAAAUACAGUGACUGCUUUUUAUUGCUGCCAGACAACAUUUCAGGAUACCUCAUCACCCUAUCUGAUGGAAUAUCUCAUGUGGAAUAACUUCUUUGAGUCAAUGCUAUAAAUGACAAUUAUGCAGCAGAGAAGGUUGCAUCAUGCAUCUCCCUUGCUGCCUUAGUAGUAAGUAGUGAUGCUUUUAGGAGGGGCACACUAAAGAGUCUUAAUGAUGGUACUGGUCCAUGCAAAUAUCACUAAUAAUGUGGAAAAGUGUUAAAUUUUCUGCUCUGUACUCAAGGAAAGAGCCAGAUUUCAUCAUAUCACAGGAAGAAGAAACACUUUCCAUUCCAGCAGUAACUCAAGAGGACGUUAAACAGCUGCUAAAGCUAGACAUUUUCAAAUCAGUACGUUCAAAUAACUUCCACCCAAGAAUCUUAAAAGCACUGUGUGAAGAGCUUUCAAGGCUGUUAAUGUUAAUUCAGUAAGUUGUGGAACACAGCAAAGAAGUUCUAGGGAACAGAAAGAAAACUUGUGUGUCAAUAUUUUACAAAGGUAAACAGGACCACCCAGAUAAUUAGAGGCUGUCAGUCUGAUAUCCAUUCUAGACAAAAUAACAGAACAGUUGAUACAGGACUUAAUUGAUUUUUUUAAAAAGUAAUGAGAAAACAGAUCCAUCAAACUACCUUGGUUAUCGAAUUACAUGUUUGAUAAAAUAAUAGUGCUGAUGCAAUACUUAGAUUAGCAUUAUGUAAUUGACUUGGUACCAGAGGACACUUUGAUUGUGUCUCAUUUACAUUUCUUAAUCAAUAUGGUGCACAUCAAACAGAUUAAAAACUUUCAAAAUGUAAUUGUAAAUAGAGAAUUGUCAUAAAGUAGGUGUGUUCCUAGUAAAGUCCUAAGAAGGUACUUCAGGGUUUUGUUCAAUUUAAAAGCAUAACCAAUAGAGUCUGUUGAUGACCUAAGGCUUGGGGAAGUGGUAAACCAUAAAGGAAACAGGUUACUGAUACAAAACCUUCUAGAUAGUUUAAGCCAAAGGCUAACAAGCAUGGUGUCCCAUGGCCAGCCAUGAAGUCAUACUUCUAGGACGAGGAAGGCAGGCUAUAUUUUAAGAAUAGGGAGCUAUAUACUGAAAAGUAGUGAUUCUGAAUAUGACUUGAGGGUUUUGUUAGAUAAGCAGAGCUUGCAUGUAAGGCUGAGAACCCCUUUCUGUUUACAAUCCCCCUGCCUAUGUGGCGUGCCCAUGGGGCUUCAUGGUAAGGUUAGUGUUCCGAAUGUGGGGAUAGCAGGGUCGGGGGGUUCCCAACACCUAUUCUCCUGGCAAAGUGAGUGAAGCAGCUUUUCUUAAGGCUGACAUUCUACCAAGAUUUCUCCACACACACCAGGGGACCAAAACAUGGUUGUUAUUGUGCCCGAAACAUUGCAAUUGUUUGAUCAUUACCACAAGUAGAUUAUAGUGCCCUCAUUCCCUUUCAGAAAAGAAUGUUGAAAAUGGAAUUUAAAAAAAGUUUGGCUUUCAAUAGGAGUAUGGGCUAAACAGAUUAUGUUGUCCAUGCUUAGACAAAGUAGCAUAAAGGGCUUGUAGCCUGCCAGAUUUCACAUGAGCUGGGUAACUCAAGGUGAUUUAAAGUAGCUAUUGAAGAUGACCUAUGCCCAUCCAAUGUCAGUUUAAAUCCACCUCUUGGUAGAAAUCUGGAGGGAGGAAAAAAAUUGACUAUAAUCUUUCUGUCAAAAAUGUUGUUUAUUUUGAGGAACUAUAAUCUGAGAACAAGAGGAAAUUCAGAAGGCAUUCAAAUAGUGCUUUGCAAAAAAAAUAAAUUAUGCUUCUUGGGAGGGGGAUAAAAGGAGAGGAGUGAGAGGUAUGGAGAAGAGUGGAGUAUGUGGCAGUGGUGAGGGGAAUGGGGUCACUGGAAACAAAAAGGGUUUGAAGGCUCAGGCCAGGGUGGGGAUUAAGGGAGGAGUGGAACAUUAGAAGAGGUGAUAUGGGAUGGCUUGCAGGGGAUAUGGGGUCAGCCCCACAAUUUCCUCUACCAUGCACUAGAAUCUGGGAAGCUGUGUCCCUUUUGGGUUGUCUGAACUCCUCUCUACUCCCAGAUGAGCUGGAAGGAUGCUCAGAGCCAUUCUGGUUGAGUCUAAGUCCCCCUCUUCAUCCCCUGCACAUGUGCUGGCAUCUAGUGGGUCCUGUCUCUCUAGAGCCAUCUGAACCUCUCUCUGUCUCCAACAGGGGCUAGUAUUUAGGGAAGUCUAACCUACCUGUGUACAGAACUAAGAACUGGAAGGCUGAGGGCAUGCACAAGGUGCACUAUACUGAGACUGUCUGAAGAGCUUAAUCAGCCUCAAAGCACAGGAAUGAGGAGGAGAACAUGAGAACCGAGCACUGAGAUGAAAGGAGCAUUCAUAUCUCAUCUCUGUAUCAGGCCUCAGGUUGGAUGUAGGUUAAUUGGUCCCAAACAAAGGAGGAAACAUUGUGUCAGAUCAGCAGUUCACCUAAUUUGCCUAAUAUCCGAUGAAGGUAUAGUCUUCCCAAACUUUUCCAGGUGAAAGAAAUUUAUGCGUCUUAGGCCUUGGCCAUCUGAGGUGAUCAGUGCUUUCAAGUGGAUAAGUCAGUUGAAGCACAGAACAAUCUGUACCUCAUAGAACUGGUACUCUUGUUUAUCAAGGGUUUUGCAUUCUCCAUAUCAAUACACCAAAACAACCAAUAGAAAUAUCUUGCUAUAUCCCAAUUUUCUCUAUGCAACAAAGUAAGAAAGAUUUUUUGCUUACCUGAAAGUCUCUUUUCUCCAAGUAACUAAGACUAAAGAUCGUCUAAAAUUGGCACUUUGGCCUGCUUGCAGCAUGACAGCAAACUACACUGGCACCAGGAUAGUGCCCCCACUCACUAAUUAUUUUGGAGACUCACAAACUGGACCUGCAUGUAAUUUUUAUCAAAGGAAUCACUGUGCAGUGGUGGGAACUCAAAAGCAGUAUGCAGCUAUGUAUGAAAUUUAAAGUAAGUAGGAAAGCAUGUCUGAAUGAGAUCAGCAUUCCUAAUAGGCUCCAAUAAGAAUUGAAUUUUUGUCUGUGAUACUAUUUAUUUUCCUUUAGGGUCAUCUGUAUCUCCUGUUAACAUUCUUCUAAGAUGAGACCUUGUCUCUGAUUGUAUUCAUCCACAGACCAGACUUGUGAAUGACUUUCCGGUUGCUGUCAGUCAGUCAUGAUGAUUCAAAGAUAGUCUAGAAAUUGCAUCACUGUGCUUUGACUUCUUGUCUAGAAAAAUCCUUAAUCAAAAAGAAAAUGUUCAGAAAGAGAUAAAUGAAUUUUCCUUCUUCUUUACAGCCAGUAUUAAUAAUACCAUGAUCAUGGAAAAGACUCUAGAAGCUCUUAUCAGAUCAUAUGGGAAUGAUUGAAUUUGUUAAAAAAAACCAAAGCCUUGUUAUCCAUAUGCAAACUGGAGGAACUGUCUGGGGCUUGGUGAGAUGGAAACUAGACUAAGUCUACUUAACCUCUCCUAGUAAGAUUUAUAGAUGUUAGGGUCGGAAGGGACCUCAACAGAUCAUCAAGUCCGACCCCCUGCCUAAGCAGGAAAGAGUGCUGGGGUCAGAUGACACCAGCCAGAUGCCUAUCCAGCCUUCUCUUAGAGACCCCCAAGGUAGAGGAGAGCACCACCUCCCUCAGAAGCCCAUUACAAAUUUUGGUCACCCUUACCGUGAAGAAGUUUUUCCUGAUAUCUAGCCUAAAUCUGCUCUCUGUCAAUUUGUGAACGUUGCUCCUUGUUACCCCAAGAGGCACCCUGGUGAACAGAGCAUCUCCGAUCCCUUGCUACAUCCCCCCUAAUGAAUUUGUAGGCUGCCACAAGAUCACUUCUCAGCCUUCUCUUGCGGAGGCUGAAGAGAUCCAGGUCCCUUAGUCUCUCCUUAUACGGCUUUUCCUAUAAGCCCCUAACCAUACGAGUGACCCUUCUCUGAAUGUUUCAGAUGGAACCCCUCUCUUUGCUCCCAAUUCUGUCAUCAGAAACUGGGUGGAGAAGGGGUUGUCUUGCUGUCAUCCAGAGUAGCUCCUGAGCAAUUCUUUUAAUGUCAUAUAUCCUUGGGUUGCCCAAGAUUAAGAAUGGGAUAGAGUUGUUUUUUUAAUUUUUGCACAAGAAAUUUCAGCCUGUGGCAGACACCUGGUAUGGAAGAGUUCAGCCCAAAUGAUCAAGUUUGGCAGUUAGGAAGCAUUAGGCAACCUAAAUAGGUGGUGCUACCAAAUCUAUCCAUGAUAUAUUUGAUCCUCUAGCUCUGAUUCAGACAUAUAACACUCCUCCCUUAAGCUAGUUCUACUUCUUUUCUGUGAAUGUAUGUACAAGAGUACUUGUGCUUGUACACCCAGAGGAACUGAUACAGGUCUGUAGCCAGGUCUUUUUUGCCACUCUGCACUUCAUAACCAAGGAUCCCGGUGCUCAGAAUAAUAUAUCAUGCUUCAUUCAACAGGUGAAGUGAGAAUCAAUCUCUAGUCCCAUUCAUUUAUUUCUCCUUUCAGAAUUCAGCCCUCUGCUCCAGAUACAAAUAAUAGUGGGGCUCAACAUUUCUGCAAAACCAUUUCAAAAGGCUAGUGCUUCCUCUGUCCUCAAAAAGGUCCUAUUGUUUUACUUUUUCCUAUGAGAGCUCCUUAUGGGUCUCUCAAGGAAGGUUCAGGCCUGGGUUCAAGAUGGACCUGCCAGAGAUUCUGUGGGUGCAUCCCCCUGAGCAUAUGUGCCGCUGCUAGUUGUCCCUGGGCAAUGCCCCUACAUGCAUGCUCUGGCGCAUGGCAAUUUGCCCCAGGUGGGAUAGAGGAGGCUAGGGUCAGCACCUGGGCUGACCCUAACAGCCUUACCUGGAGUCCUGGGGGCCUCUUGGGGCUCCAGCAGUGGCAAUCCAGGUGAGCAGAGUCAGCUGGAGUAUGGCUCUGGCUGGCCAGGCCCUGGUUUCAGGCGGUGAACACUGCGCCGCCCUGCUUUUUUGUGGCACGGGUUUUUUUGACCCCAGGAUCUCCUGAGGUAAAAAAACCCAGCAUGCUGCAAAAGUAGCACAGUGAACACUUGCAUGUGUGGCACAUGCAGUCUGCAGCACUACAAAUGGGUUGGUCUGCAGUGUCACAGACCACAUGUGCGUGCUCAUGUGGAUGCGCCACUCUACUCUCAACUACCUGGUCUGUAUCUAGAUAGGUCUGCUGAAGCCUCAGCCUAGGACAUGAGUAGGAAAGGACUCAUCCUAGGAGCACUGUUAGGGAAGAGGUAACCAGAAGAGGAAACUGGGCUCACCAUCAGCAUUUGCUUUGUCCAUGCUGUAUCUCGUGCCCUCCCUCCAUGACCUGCAACUAUGCAAAGCAGAAGGCAGAUGAACUUUACAGUCUUGGGUGUGGCUGCUGACAUAGGCUCUAGAGAUAUAAUGGUGAUCUGACAUGCUGGUAUCUCUCCCUCCAUGGUUAGAAGGGCAUGUUUGCCCCUGAACCACUCCCAUCCCAUGCCAUAAGAGAAACGAGGCAGAUGUGACCCUGCUUAGAAAGAACUACAGAGACACUGCUUCCUUCCUUCUCUUGAAGGGACAAGGAGCAUCUAAGCAGGACAGCAGCCACAAAAAUGAUGGCACAAGAUUGCCAUUGUAUUCCACAGUCUAACACAGAUGGGGUUUCUGUGCCAACUCAGAGGCUAGUGUGGAGGAUGGCAUCUGGAAUGUCAGCAGAAGGGGUAGAAAGAAGAUCCACCAGUAUGGGUUCAGGAUCCUGCAAGUAGUUCAGAUGGUGAUGGCAGCUGCAGUAGAGAAACAUGAGGGGCUGCACUGAAGCUUCAUUUGGUAACCAUAACUGGACAGAUUUUGUCACCCCAAUGUUCUCCUUAUACAUUAUACUUAGCCAAUAUGAAUCAAGUUCCUGAAUAAGUCACAUUUGCAAAUGAAAAGGACUGAAAUUCCCCUUUAACAGUAGCUUGUUUUUCUUACCUCCUUCUCAGUGAAGUAUUUCAGGAUGUGCCUUGUAUGUACUUAAGAAAUGCACAUUUCAUAGAUUGUGUGUUCAUUAUCAUUAUCAUUCUCCAUGUAUACAUUUGCACAACAUGACAGCUUCUUCAUUCAUCUUCAAAAUAUUAGUCGGCUAGUUGUUAACAUAUUUUUAAAAAAGUACGUGUCAUUUCCAGUUAAACAAAACACCUGUUUUCUAAUAUGAUGGGGUAUUACAGCCUUGCCUCAGUCUCUGAAAGCAAAUGGUCACCAGACUGUGUUCAUAAUAACUCUGGACCCCAUAAGCUCUUCAGGUAGGUGGGUCUGGACAGAUGUUGUCUCCAAGAGCCCUGAUAACUCCAUCUCAGUGCACAGAUUCCAUAUCUGGGUCAUUGUCAUUGAGAUAUAAGACUCCAGAGACCAGUGGCUGUAGGCCUAGAAACAAGUCCUGAACCCUGCAAGCUCCUGCAUUCACUUAUUCCUACUUCCUCCAGAGCUCCAAAGAGCUUUGGUUUUGACAGGUGUCCUACUGGGUAGUACACAAAGCCCAUUCUGUCCUUCAACUCCUGCAUCUGUGUCUUCUGGCUUGGCAAUAGGAUAGUUCUCCUAAAAGCACUCCUCUAAAAAUGGGCUUGUUUUUGCGGUUGCUUUUGGAUCUUCCCUGUGGAAGUGCUGCCCCAGUCAUUAUAAGCCAGUUCUGCUGGUCAUUACCCCAUUGUUCUACCAGUCCAGAGUGGUAACUCUAUGAUAGCCUUGUCUCAGUCCCAGAUACAGUCUGUUUCUUCUACUAAAUGGGAGUUUUAAUCAAAUGCUAUUCAUAAGCUGAAAGACAUAUUCCCCAAACUAUCACACUUUGCUUUUAACAUAUGGACUGACUGACAAGUAGAUCAAAUGAUUUUCCAAAUGAUUUUCGCUGUAUUCACUAGGCAGCUUUGCUCAUUUAAGGUUCCCAUAGUGAGGCUAGUGUUUCUGGCUAUGCCGUUAAGACUAGUCGCAGCAGGUGUAGAUUGUUAGAUUUCCAUUUGACUUCAAUGGAUCUGACAGUUUACACUGCUCAGUAUCUAGUCUUGAGAAAACUCCAGUGCAAAGCAGCUGUUAUUAAAGCUAACCUUGCAAAAAGUAUGCUGCUUUUGUGUGUGUUCAAAUCUAAUCUUCUUUAGAGUCUCUUUUAAUAUCUUUAAUCUGUCAAGAGGCUUCUACGCACUAGGUACAUAACCAAUUAAAAUCUUCUAACUAGUGACUAGAGUUAACAGUGUUUGUGCCCCGUAUUUUGCCAAACCUGAAACAAAGAACCUAUAGCCAUUAACAGCAAGUCUUGGCCAAGAGACCUUUGGCCAAGUCACUGAUUUCAUUCUUCCCAGAAACUACUCACCUUUAUAGUUGGUGUGAAUGUUGUAUGUCUUAUUACUACAUGGCACAUACCAACAGCUAAGUUGCAUUACCUGUUUCAUUGAAUGCAUCAUAUUUGUGAUCUACAUGUUCAUUUCUAGGCCCACAGGGACACUAUGGGCUAAGUCCUAUUUCACUUUACAUACCUAAGUGGCAGUUGUGCAGCCAUGGACUCAUAGUGUUUGGCACCUAGACACAGUCUGAGAUUCAACUCUAGGUAUGCCAGCAGUGACACAGCUACUGAGCAUGUUCAUUAAGACCUUGCUAUGGCUGGGCAGGUAUGUGAUACCAUGCCUUUGCCUAAGUAUGCACGCAAGAGGAUUUGAACCUGCCUCUCCCACUUCCCAAAAAGCUUGAACAACCAGGGCAUAGCUGCUGAAUCUUCCUUAGCCUGACGAAGGGUUUUUGAACCCGAAAGCUUGCUUAAUAACUAUUCUCCAACCAUUUGGGUUGGCCUAAUAAAAGAUAUCAAAUUCACCCAAGGAACCUUGUCUGCCUAUGUCCUUAGACCAACACGGCUACAACCCAAACCCCAGGGCAUAGCUUAGGCAUUUUCCAAGCCCUUCAAGCUCCCCCUUGAAACUGAAUUAUUAUGCUGUGUGAGUAAUGUUCGUUGGAUAAAAUGGGUGGAGAGCACUGCAGCCUAUAAGUACAUAAGGGGAGUGCAUCAGUAUCUGGGAGAACAGUUGUUCACCAGAGCUCCCUGAGGAAUAACGAGGUCCAACAGCCGCAAACUCCUAGAAGGCCAGUUCAGAUUGAACAUAAGGAAAAACUUCUUCACAGUCCUAGUGUCCAGGGUCAGGAACAGACUCCCCCUGGAGGUGGAGCAAGCACCUACUCUGGACUCAUUCAAAAGGCAACUGGAUGUUUAUCUCACUGGGAUCCCCGCAGACUUCCUGCCAGUGGCAGAGGGGCUGGACUCGAUGAUCUCGCAAGGUCCCUUCCAGCCCCUAAUGUCUAUGAAAUCUAAGUUUCUGCCUCAUUGGAAGCAAGGGCCUAAAUUAGCACUGAGGACCUCCUCCCAUCAAAGCUUCAUCCAUCUCAUUGAGGCAUAAACCCUCUGACUUGCUCAAGGGGUAGGGAUCAACUUCAAGAGGAGGGCUGGGUAAUGCCUAGCCUGUGUCCUGAUUGUUAAAAUGUUUUGCUGAGAAUGAGAAGAUACAGCUUUAAACCCCUCUAAUUGCUUGGAUCCUAGAAACUAGGUCCCCUGUUCCCAGGACAAGUCCCCCCUAACCAGUAAGCUGUUGGGCUAAAACAUGGGAGGGCCCUUCUCUCCCACACCACGUGCAAGGUGAAAUGGAUUCCCAAAAUCCAUCUAAGUGCCAAAGCCUGAAGUGAGAUGGCUGUGCAUGUACCAUUCAGGUACACAAAGUGAGAUAGGAUGCUGCCUUGUAUAUUUGUAGGAUAAAGGUUGAAUGUCUAUUUGAGCUAGUAAAGAAUGCGCAAUUGCAUGAAUAUAAACUGACAAUCUGUAUCAAGUAUACGAUAAUAUUUUGUAAAAUGUUUUAUUAAGAAUAUAGGCCAUGACCUAUUACACUAAUAUUAAAGUUAAGCGUCUUGUCAUCAUA